rnacentral:rRNA from 1 species
CCUACGGGAGGCAGCAGUGGGGAAUUUUGGACAAUGGGGGCAACCCUGAUCCAGCCAUGCCGCGUGAGUGAAGAAGGCCUUCGGGUUGUAAAGCUCUUUCGGACGGAACGAAACGGGCGAGGCUAAUAACCUUGUCCACUGACGGUACCGUAAGAAGAAGCACCGGCUAACUACGUGCCAGCAGCCGCGGUAAUACGUAGGGUGCGAGCGUUAAUCGGAAUUACUGGGCGUAAAGCGUGCGCAGGCGGUUUUGUAAGCUGGAGGUGAAAUCCCCGGGCUUAACCUGGGAAUGGCCUUCAGGACUGCAAGGCUUGAGUACGGCAGAGGGAGGUGGAAUUCCACGUGUAGCAGUGAAAUGCGUAGAUAUGUGGAGGAACACCGAUGGCGAAGGCAGCCUCCUGGGCCAGUACUGACGCUCAUGCACGAAAGCGUGGGGAGCAAACAGGAUUAGAUACCCUGGUAGUCCACGCCCUAAACGAUGUCAACUAGGUNUUGGGGAAGGUGACUUCCUUAGUACCGCAGCUACGCGUGAGUGUACCGCCGUGGGAGGUACGGCCGCGAGGUAACGUAAACGUAAGUAAGUAGCGNGNGAGNGCGACGACGACGACGACGGAGGAGG